CACGCAGUAAACGAUGCACACUAGGCGUGGGAGGACUUGACCCCUUCCGUGCCGGAGCAAACGCGAUAAGUGUGCCGCCUGGGGAGUACGGUCGCAAGACUAAAACUCAAAGGAAUUGACGGGGGCCCGCACAAGCGGCGGAGCGUGUUCUUUAAUUCGUCGCAACGCGAAGAACCUUACCAGGGUUUGACAUAUCGCUGCAUGCCGCAGAGAUGCGGAGGCCUACGAGGGUGCGAUACAGGUGC
rnacentral:rRNA from 1 species